GGCUCUGUGCGCUGCCCCCGCCUUGAGUGCUGGCUCUGCAGCUCCAAUUGACCAGGAAUUGCAACCAGUGGGAGCUGCAGGGGUGGUGCUUGCAGGUGUGGGCAGCGCGCACUGCGCAGAGCCCCUUGGCCACGCCACCGCCUAGGGCUGGACAUGCCGACUGCUUCCAGAAGCAGCGCAGAGCCAGGGUAGGCAGGGAGCCUGCCUUACCCCGCUGCACUGCCAACCAGGAGCUGCCUGAGGUCAAUACGUCUAUUUUAUGAUGGCUACUCUGAAACAGCAGGAUCUUUGGAAUCAUUCAGGAUGGUAACCUGUUUGCUCCACACUUUCACGAAGCACUCUGGUCUAGAAAAUCAGGCAUAAACACAUUCAUAUG